rnacentral:rRNA from 1 species
AUUGAACGCUGGCGGCAGGCUUCACACAUGCAAGUCGAGCGAGCGGCGGACGGGUGAGUAAUGUCUGGGAAACUGCCUGAUGGAGGGGGAUAACUACUGGAAACGGUAGCUAAUACCGCAUACCAUCAGAUGUGCCCAGAUGGGAUGAGCUAGUCGGUGGGGUAAUGGCUCACCUAGGCGACGAUCCCUAGCUGGUCUGAGAGGAGGACCAGCUAAACGGUACCUGAGACACGGUCCAGACUCCUACGAGAGGCAGCAGUGGGGAAUCCUGCACAAUGGGCGGAAGCCAGAUGCAGGCAUGGCGCGGGUGUGAAGAAGGCCUUCGGCUUGUAAAUACCUGUCAGCGAGGAGGCGUUACUCGCAGAAGAAGCACCGGCUAACUCCGUGCCCGCAUCCGCGGUAAUCC